AAUAAUCCGUCCAAGAAACCGGCGACACCCCUUUCUCCGCCGUCUUCUUAAGCACAUCCACCCAUAACGUCCCGGCCGCCACGUCAGCGUACUUCUUGUCUUUUGAAACCACCACGUCAGUGAUACACGUCAUGUUGACGAUUACUCCGCCGGAGACCGAGGCUUGGCCGUUUAAGGAGUGGCCUUGGCCACGAGCCGCUACUUGGAAUGUACUUUUUCCGUUUGCGGCGUAUUGGAGGAGACGAGAGAUAUCAGCGGUGGAGGAGGGGCAGAUUACGCCGCCGGGGGUCACGGUGGUUAUGUUUCCGAAGUCAUGAGAGGCUGCGGAGAUGAUGGAAGGAUCGGUAGAGAGGGUGAGGUUAAGGGAUUUAGAUGUCAUAACAUAAAAGCCUAGAGGGGAGGGUCGAGGGGAGAGUCGGGUAGUUCAAGGAGUUGAUUUGGUUGCAAAUGAUUCGGUGAAUAUGCCGUUGAAAGUAAACUGCCGAUUGGAGAGGCAUGCAUUACGUUCUUGCCAACUUGACUAAAGAUCAUAUACGUAGGUCGUGGUUUAUUUUUGCGGGAACCAAAACUUUUGGGAUUUUGAUUCAAAGACAUCAUAACAGAUAAGAUGAUCGAGAUGUAGUAAGACAAGGAAUGUUUUACAUGGAUGUAGGCGUGUUCUGACUCAUAUAUUGGUUGAGGAAUGCUCUGAGUGUUCAGAGAACCGUAUAGGACUUAAUCGCAGCGGGUGGAGCUGGAUGCGUCUUUAAGAUAACGAAUUAGUUUCUGGUUCUUGUGAUCAGUUGUGUUUAAUGUAUAUUCAUGGGUGAUAGAUUUAAUCACUCAUAAUCUUAUGUUACAAUCCUUUGUGCUAUUUUAGUUAUGUUCAUUAGAGUAUUUAUGAUAAGAACUCACUAGCUGCGAGGAGGAGAUGGAACUUGCCAGAGAACCACUCAGAUUCAAGAGGAGGACAACAAAGAUGAAUGGACAUGGGUUUGGUACUUAUUUGGAAGAAUACUCCUACUAGGUUACUGUUUGAGAUGAUGGAUAAGCUUCUGAAUGAGAGAAUGACGAAGAGGAGUGGAUGUGUCAUGUAAACCAAAUACUGAGCUACUAAGAACUGAUUUCAAGAAUUUGUUUAGAUUUUGAUUUGGAAUCAUAGCAAAACCAUAUGUGAUACGUUUUGGAUCAGAAAAAAAAAACGAUCCAAGGCAGCCAAUUGUUGCGGGCAGGCCCGUCUGCCAUCUUUAGAUAAUUAGAUGUAACUAAA
rnacentral:misc_RNA from 1 species